AAAGGGUCCUUUAAAACUGCAUUUGCUUUUCUUUGUAAAGUGGUAAAGAAACCAUAUAGGGCUAUUCUUUGGAAAGUGAACCAAAAUGUCACACACAUUACCAAAUGGCAUCACAUAAAGCAAUACAUAAAACAUUUAUUGUAAGAGAUUAAUCUUAUUCAUUGCUAUUUUCCUACAUACAGAACUAUAAUGCAUGUCUGCUACAGAUAUGAACAUUCUAGUUUUUUGUAAUUCACAAGAGUUUGUUAGAUAAAACUGAGUUAUGAAAAAAAACGUGAUAGUAGAUAUAAAAAUUAUGAGAGGCAAUGAUAGGGUAGAUGGCCAGAACAAUCUGAUGGUCAGAUCCACAUUCCCUGAACCAGUUAUAAAAGAGUCCUUUAAAACUGCAUUUGAUUUUCUUUGCAAUCUUCCUAUGUGGCAGUUUGAAAUUGCCCCAACAUUGUCAAAGACCCUCAAGAUUUCUUCUUGAUGAACCUCUUUGAAACUGUGGUUGUUUUGUCUCCCCUCAUUACUCUGAUGAAAAUGUAUUAUUUUUCUGCAUUUCAGUUAGGAUUUUUCCAUUUUAUCUCAUCUGGCUAAGUCACCUGGGUCUGUUAUGACUCCUCGUGAUAUUUACUACAUUGCCAAGUUUUACGAAAUUCACAGACUUCAUUAUACUUUGAAUGUCAUGUCUAGGUCAAUGAUAUACAUUAAAAUGAGCAUAUGGCUGUCAUGUUAACCUUUGGAAAUCACUAUAUUGCCUUUGGCCUGCAGAUCAAUUGGCCACCACUCGUGUCUAUUUUUCACACUGCUAUACUGUUCCUUUCAUUUUUCCAUCUAUUAUUGUCUUACCCAAUAAUCUUUGUUUCUCUUCCACUGGCCCAGAGUUCAUCCACACUUCCUAAAGCAAGCAUCCGAUCAGUUAUGUAUUUGCACAUUUGAUUGGUCCUUGACCUUUGCCAAAUGUGGUCUUGUCAUCCGAUGUUUCUCAAAUGUUCUCUCACUGAACGUGCUGUUGUCCAUCAAAAUAAUAUAAUGAUAUAUACUGCCAUCCCCUAAAACAAAAAGACGUAAUGUUAAAAAUAUAACAAACAAGUUGCACACAACAGCAAUAAAUACAAAUAUAACAAUGGAGAAACAAGAAGCUGCAGGUGCUGGUUUACAAAUAAAGACACAAAGUGCUGGAGUAUGACAGAAAAUGACAGGAUAACAGCAAUGUUAAAUUUGGGGUAACUAGUGAACAGGCCAGGAGAUUUAUUACAUACUAGAAUGAAUUUAAUAUCUAAUUAAAUCUCUUAGAGUAACUUUGUAUUAAAGUAGUUAUUUAAAUAUUUUUGGAGAUUUUGUAGACAACAAGUGAUUUUGUUUUUAAUUUCAAAAUUAUUUAGAACUUCAGGGAUCACUUUGAUAAGUAUAUCAGUUGAAAUAACUGGCUGUACGUUAAUGAAAAGCUUCUUGUUUCUCCAUUGUUAUGUUUGUAUUUAUUGCUGUUGUGUGCAACUUGUUUGUUAUAGUUUUAACAUUACAACAGUGACUCAGUCUCAAAAAUAUAAUGAAGUCAUGUAAUCUGUUUCUCAAUUGGGUGGGUCAACGAU